GGCAAGAUGGCCGAGUGGUUAAGGCGUCACGUAAGUCACUAGUGUCGCAAUUUCUCUUGGUAUUCAUACUAACAAAAUCAACAGGUUUAGGAUAUAUAUAUAUUAAUCUAUAUAUAAACGAACCGUGAUCCGAAAGGGCGUGGGUUCGAAUCCCACUCUUGUCA
rnacentral:tRNA from 1 species